rnacentral:lncRNA from 1 species
GUCAGCUGCUGGGAUGUUGUCUCUACCCAGCCCUGCAGAGUACAGAGGCAAAUGGGAGGAGGUAUGGAGACAAAGAGAUGGAAGGAGGGGAGGAGAGAGGUCAACAAGAAGGAUGAAGGGGGAUUCAGGGGUGGGCAGAAGGGAUGGGGGAGGUGAGGAAGAUGAAGAGGAGGUUUAUAGAAGGACCAGGGAGAGGGUAGAAGGGAUAGGGAGAAGGUUUCUCACAGGCUGUCCUAAUCGUGGCAGGUAAGUUUUGGCACUAUCAUGUUAUUCCAAGUUGUAGGCUGCUCCUAGUGCUACACCAUGGAGUCAUUGGGAGCCUGUUGAAGUUGAGUGUAGCCAGAAGGCAGAAAAAAAAGAGAGCCAAGGGUAGACAGGAGAAGUCUGAGCCAUGUGAACACUGCAGUCAUGCCCAGGGAGGCUGUGGGGGAACACGGGAUCGGGGACAAGGCUUUCUCAGACUCCGAGGCAAGAGGUGGCCUGCCUGCCGGGACCUGUCUGAUAAAGGUUUGGGAACUUGUGUAGUGGGGGCUGUCUGUGGGCGGUCUGUGUGGAGACAGUGGCUGGAGCAGGGUGCUUGGGUGGGGAAAGACAGGCCCUGGGAGGUGAAGGGUUCAGUGACUAAGAAAGCAGAGACCAGAACGGCUCAUCUGGUUUGUUGCAGAGAUGGGAGGAAUCCCAGGUAACCCUGGUGGACACCAUGGUGGAUCUCCAUGGCAAACUCUUCACAGCCAUCCAGGAUGCCCCACAGCGCCAGGAGCUCUUCUCUCAGAUAGAGCAGGCCGUCCUCCAGAGCCUGGAGACUCUAGCAAAGAGAACCAUUGUGCCGUAGGUGAUAUUUAAAGCCUAAACCACUUGCCCUGGAUCAGAGAGAAUUGGAGACCCCUUUUUACAGGAGAGUCUAGGUGAGGCUGUCUUCUUUGAUCCUUGCAGGUGUCAGUCCAAGACCAAUCUCUGACUGUCUAUGUGGCUCAUGUGUACCCUCUCUGAGCCUCAGUUUCCUUAUGUGUCAAAUGGGGA